GAAGAAGGCGUAUUGCGGGCUGCCCGCCGGGUGCGACGUGUAACAAACCCGACUUCUGACUGCGACGCCAGCAGACAAAGCAAGUGGCCGUCGAUGAAAAGUCGUCAAGACAAAAAAGAUGUAUCGUGGUUCAGAGGCAGUCCGGCCCAGGGGGCGGGGGGACCGCUGACGCAGAAGAGGUCGCCGACGAGGAUGACUACCGCAGACCCGGCUCCAAGAAUCCGAGGCUCAGCAAGCUCACGAACAAACGGAAUCCAGAUUUUGAUAUAGAGUUCGUUCCGGAGUUCUUAAAGAAACAGGCGAUGUCUUUAAGGAACAACGACUUCUCGUUCAAGAAGGCUCUGAAGCGACAUUUUAACAUUUAAAAUAAAUAAUUGAACAACUAAA